CUACAACAUAAAGUUCUCAAUAAAGUUGAAGCUGAGACAUAGAUGGGACACAAUGGCCAGAUCUACAGCACAGAGCCAAGGAGAUGAGGCAAACCCUUGGACUUGAAAUUAUGUACCAAGUCCGUGCAACAAUCUCAGAAUGGGUUAUUGAUCACCAAGGAGACCAGUGUUUGGAUGGAACAGACCCAGGGACGCCCCUUCUUCCAGCCUCCAGACACACUCCUGCAUCUUAUCCAGUCACCACUUUCAGAACCACCUCUGGGACCAGCAAAGGUUAAAAAGCAGAUUUAUAUUCAGUAGGUCUGACUGGGGCCCACCAGUUUCUUUUCUACCUUAACUCCUUAUUGGCCAACAGCCAUGAGCUCCCAAAUUCGUCAGAAUGAUUCCACCGAGGUGGAGGCUGUAGUCAACCGCCUGGCCAACCUACAUCUGUGGCCUCCCACACCUACCUCUCUCUGGGUUUCUAUUAACCAGGACGAUGUGGCUCUCAAGGGCGUGGGCCACUUCUUCCAUGAGUUGUCAGGGAAGAAGCUGGAGGGCGCUGAGCAUCUCUUAAAGUUGCAAAACCAGCGCGGUGGCCACAUUCUCUCCAGGACGUGCUGAAGCCUCCCCAAGAUGAGUGGGCAAAACUCAGCAUGCCAUGGAAGUCUCCUUGGCCUUGGAGAGGAACCUGAACCAGGCCCUUUUAGAGCUGCAGGCCCUGGGUUCUACUCACGCAGACCCUCAGCUCUGUGAUUUCCUGCAGAACCACUUCCUGGGUGAGGAGGUGAAACUCAUCAAGAAGAUGGGCUUCACCUGACU